GGUGUGUACUGGUCUCUCCGUCCUUCCUUCUGGCUUUGCUGCCUUCUGCUCUUAACUGAGCGGGAGGUUAGCUCCAGAUCGUUUACUUUGAAAAAAUUAGAGUGUUCAAGGCAGGUACCAAAAACUUUACGCCUUGAAUACAUUAGCAUGGGAUAAUAGAAUAGGACAUCGCUCUUAAUUUUGUUGGUUUUUAAGAGCGGCGUAAUGAUUAAUAGAGAUAGUUGGGGGUAUUCAUAUUUAAUUGUCAGAGGUGAAAUUCUUGGAUUUAUGAAAGAUGAACUCCUGCGAAAGCAUUUAUCAAGGAUGUUUUCAUUAAUCAAGAACGAAAGUCAGGGGAUCGAAGGCGAUUAGAUACCGCCCUAGUUCUGACCGUAAACGAUACCAUCUAGCGAUCCGAUAGGGUCUAUCUAGCCUUGUCGGGGAGCUUCCCGGAAACGAAAGUCUUUCGGUUCCGGGGGUAGUAUGGUUGCAAGGCUGAAACUUAAAGGAAUUGACGGAAGGGCACCACCAGGUGUGGAGCCUGCGGCUUAAUUUGACUCAACACGGGGAAACUCACCAGGUCCAGACAUAACUAGGAUUGACAGAUUGAUAGCUCUUUCAUGAUUUUAUGGGUGGUGGUGCAUGGCCGUUCUUAGUUGGUGGAGUGAUUUGUCUGGUUAAUUCCGAUAACGAACGAGACCUUAACCUGCUAAAUAGCCAGGCUGGCUUUGGCUAGUCUCCGGCUUCUUAGAGGGACUGUCAG
rnacentral:rRNA from 1 species